UACAGAGGUCUCAAGCGUUGUUCGGAUUCAUUGGGCGUAAAGGGUGCGUAGGUGGCGCGGUAAGUCGGGUGUGAAAUCUCGGAGCUUAACUCCGAAAAUGCAUUCGAUACUGCCGUGCUUGAGGACUGGAGAGGAGACUGGAAUUCAUGGUGUAGCAGUGAAAUGCGUAGAGAUCAUGAGGAAGACCAGUGGCGAAGGCGGGUCUCUGGACAGUUCCUGACGCUGAGGCACGAAGGCCAGGGGAGCAAACGGG
rnacentral:rRNA from 1 species